AUUUUGAUCAUUGAGAAGCUUAAUAUUCCCUUUAAUACACAAUGUAAUUAAAACGUUUAGCUGAUUUUACAGAGUUAUAUCCCUGUAGUGUUAGGUACCACCUUAAAAACACACACUUGCUGGAUAAACUGAAGACAUUUUUAAAGUGAAAACAUAUAGGUGUCUUCGUUAACAGAAAAUUGACUUUUGUCUUUUGUACAAAGAAAAAACAUAGCAUAGCAUGACC
rnacentral:lncRNA from 1 species